rnacentral:rRNA from 1 species
UACGAAGGGGGCUAGCGUUGCUCGGAAUCACUGGGCGUAAAGCGCACGUAGGCGGAUUGUUAAGUCGGGGGUGAAAUCCUGGAGCUCAACUCCAGAACUGCCUUCGAUACUGGCGAUCUUGAGUCCGGGAGAGGUGAGUGGAACUCCGAGUGUAGAGGUGAAAUUCGUAGAUAUUCGGAAGAACACCAGUGGCGAAGGCGGCUCACUGGCCGGUACUGACGCUGAGGUGCGAAAGCGUGGGAGCAACAGGAUAA